GCGAAAGGUGUAAAAAUGCAGUGUCUUGCUACGGAACAAUUUGUAUGGCGUGAUUAGACGUUUUCGCGAAAAAAGUCAAACAGGAAAGGUGUAUUUUUCAAACUUACCUGUUUUUGGUAUGUGACACACAUGUCACUACGUAGGAGGUGCUACCGGUGCAUGGUAGUUUUUUGCUAGCUAAAAAGUGAUUUGGAGCAGCGUACAGCAUAGAGGAUAUGCGAGCGUAUAGAAAGCUAAAGGAUCAUAAGUGCAUUUAUCCAACCCACAACGGCUAUGCCAAGGCAGUAGAGCGCAUAAACAACACACGAUCCCAAGAUGAGCUGGCUAGUGAGCUGCUUAAAAAUAAAUUAUACCCGCUGUGAAUCAACCUGUCUAUCGUUGAUGAUGCUGGUGCUGCUGACAAAUGUACCAUCAAAUAAUUAAUCAGCAUAUUUCGUUGUUUAGAUACAAGCGACUAAUGCCAACUAAUGAUUUGUCCUAUGUGGCUAAUCAUACAAAUAAUGAUUCAUUAAGGUGAGUGCCAAAAUGAAAAUGGCUGUACAACUGUAUUUAUUGUGAAACAUAUAAAGCGGCGCGCCAAAAAGACAGAACACAGCAAGCGUUGGCAUCAAGGAAGUACGGAGAGAAUCGUGUGUGGUGUUACGUGGUAACCUGCUUACUUCGCAAACCACAUACCCCGGUAGUUGUGCCUUACAGCGAUGUUGCUGCAGUUUACUCCUUGGAAACUAUCGCUAUGAGAGCAGCUUCGAAGCUUGAAAAGUAGUUACGAGUUGCUUGGAAUAGUGUCAGUUGGUCAGGCGUUUAUUUUAAUGUACUAUCUCCUCUUUCAUCUACAUUUACUAUAUUAUUUUUUCAUACAUGUAUAUAUUUUUUCUCCUCAUAUAUAUCCUAUUUUUAAAAUAUUCGAAAACAAAUAAAAAUUGAUGAAAAACAAAUAAAGUACUGUCAGCCGGCAGCAAAACAAUAAAUAA